rnacentral:lncRNA from 1 species
AAAUAAAUUCUUUCUUGGAAAAGAAGCGAAAGCUCAGACGGAGAAGCAACAAGGCAAAGGCAGGGAGAGGAACACCGAUCCCCCACUCCACCUCACCCCGGAGAGGAGAGGAGAGAAGAGAAGAGAAGAGGAGAAAAGAAAAGAUCCGAUCCGGCGGAUCGAAGCGCAACCACCGUCUCGACGUCUCGUCUCGCCCUAUCCGUUUCCUCCGUUUCACACUCUCCUCCCUCACCCCUUCCCCCGUUCCCCUUCCUUGGUAUAAGUCCUCCCUUGCUAUUUCCGCCUCACAUCCGACCACAAAUCCGCACCCCCAGGACCAGCAGCAGCAGCCAUGACGCCCUCCGCCGUCGCCAACCUAGCCGGCGCCUCCCCGCUGCCCGCCUUCGCGCCGAGGCCCAGGUCCAGGCCCAACUCGGCCAGCCCGGGCCCGUUCGGGCCCGCGCCGCGCCGGCUCGCCGUCGCCGCCCCGCCGCGGGCCUUCUUCUCCUCCGCGCCCUACCAGCCGCCGGAGCCGGAGGGCUACUCCUCCGUCCGCGAGUACGGCCUCGUGCCCAUGGUCGUCGAGACCACCUCCCGCGGGGAGCGCGCCUACGACAUCUUCUCCCGCCUGCUCAAGGAGCGGAUCGUCUGCAUCCACGGGCCCAUCGCCGACGAGACGGCCUCGCUCGUCGUCGCGCAGCUGCUCUUCCUCG